AAGCGAGAAGCAAAAAUUGCAAUCAGUUUCGACCUGAUCUUAGAUAAUCCUCAAUUUAUCCCCGCUUU
rnacentral:tRNA from 1 species